UACAGGAAAAAUUUGAAUGACCAAGACAGACACUUUCCUUCCCAAAUUCAAACUCUUUUUUUUCAGACAGAUGGGUAUAGGAAGUGACUGGGAAAGUGGACAGAAAAAGUUGAGUAUUGGCAGUCAUUCAGCAGCAAUAAGCAUCAAGAAGCAAGACUUCCUGAGGCCAAGCAGAGUCAAGUCCUCCAGACCAUGUUCAAAUUAACUGGUAAUUUUGUACAAGACAGAAUCUUGGAGAGUCAGCUCCUAACUCUUUCUCCAUAUACAUAAACAGCCAAAAAACACACAUAGCUCUAAUGGGAAGGUGAAAACUCCAUCAAAUCGCUGUCCAUGUUAAAAAUAAGAGCAAUGUAUGGAAAUGUGCCAGUGCAAGGUAAAGGAAAAUCAAUUAUAUUUGACUGAAAAAGCUGCAAAAAAAAUAGUAUUUUCAACAUGAACUGACACACAGAAGAUGGGAUAUUAUUUACCUGUGAACUGUUCCCUGGAAAGAAGUAAUCAAAUAAAUACUGCAGCUUCACAUUUC